GCGGCGUGCUUAACACAUGCAAGUCGAACGAUGAACCAGGAGCUUGCUCUUGGGGAUUAGUGGCGAACGGGUGAGUAACACGUGAGUAACCUGCCCUUGACUCUGGGAUAAGCGUUGGAAACGACGUCUAAUACCGGAUACGAGCUUCCACCGCAUGGUGAGUUGCUGGAAAGAAUUUUGGUCAAGGAUGGACUCGCGGCCUAUCAGCUUGUUGGUGAGGUAACGGCUCACCAAGGCGACGACGGGUAGCCGGCCUGAGAGGGUGACCGGCCACACUGGGACUGAGACACGGCCCAGACUCCUACGGGAGGCAGCAGUGGGGAAUAUUGCACAAUGGGCGAAAGCCUGAUGCAGCAACGCCGCGUGAGGGACGACGGCCUUCGGGUUGUAAACCUCUUUUAGCAGGGAAGAAGCGAAAGUGACGGUACCUGCAGAAAAAGCACCGGCUAACUACGUGCCAGCAGCCGCGGUAAUACGUAGGGUGCAAGCGUUGUCCGGAAUUAUUGGGCGUAAAGAGCUCGUAGGCGGUUUGUCGCGUCUGCUGUGAAAUCCCGAGGCUCAACCUCGGGUCUGCAGUGGGUACGGGCAGACUAGAGUGCGGUAGGGGAGAUUGGAAUUCCUGGUGUAGCGGUGGAAUGCGCAGAUAUCAGGAGGAACACCGAUGGCGAAGGCAGAUCUCUGGGCCGCUACUGACGCUGAGGAGCGAAAGGGUGGGGAGCAAACAGGCUUAGAUACCCUGGUAGUCCACCCCGUAAACGUUGGGCGCUAGAUGUGGGGACCAUUCCACGGUUUCCGUGUCGUAGCUAACGCAUUAAGCGCCCCGC
rnacentral:rRNA from 1 species